AGAAUCAACGCUGGCGGCGUGCCUAACACAUGCAAGUCGAGCGCGAAAGGGGAGCAAUCCCCAAGUAGAGCGGCGAACGGGUGAGUAACGCGUGGGUAAUCUACCUUCGAGUGGGGAAUAACAGCGGGAAACUGCUGCUAAUACCGCAUGACAUCGUCGCUUCUUCGGGAGUGACGAUCAAAGCCGGGGACCGCAAGGCCUGGCGCUUGAAGACGAGCCCGCGUCCGAUUAGCUAGUUGGCGGGGUAAUGGCCCACCAAGGCUCCGAUCGGUA
rnacentral:rRNA from 1 species